CCCACCGCCAUUAGGUUCCGGAGGCUCUGCGGCUGGGGGGAAGAUGGCGGUCGCGGGAUUUCACGUCCUGCCCCGCCAACUCCCAUUCUUUGCCCGUCUUUGCCCUCCCAGCUCCUGCUUCUCGACGCAGGCUCUUGCUGAUAACCCUUAAUGUGAUGUGGAGACAAACAUCAGUCUGUAUUAGAUUAAACCAAGAAAUUGCUGCAUUCAAGAAUUUUUGACCUACAAAAUGGCAAUUUCACAUGACUCUACUUAAUAGAAAAAGAAGCAGAGGGAGUUUAAUAUGGAGAACCGAUCGCACAGGUGUUCAGAGGGCUGAAGGAACAAAAAGCGAUCAUCGAGGUCAUCAACGUAAUUACCGCUGGAAGUAGCAACUGCUCAGGGAUGAGGAAGCAAAGGGAAGCAGAAUGAUUUCAUGAAGAAUGGAUAUUCCACACCUAUACACAUUCAAUUAUGAUUUACAGUUAUGUUUACUCUGAGGAGGAAGUAUGCAGUGUAAAUACAUUGCUUUUACUCAAAAGGACCAAGAAAUCACACAUGAAAUAACUUACCCUGAAUGAAGAAGAG